rnacentral:rRNA from 1 species
AGCUCCAGUAGCGUAUAUUAAAGUUGUUGCAGUUAAAAAGCUCGUAGUUGGAUUUCUGGCGAACCGUUGCGGCCCGUGGUCGUUUCGGCCGUGUGUGCCGUGCCGUGUUUGUCAUCCUUCCAGAGAGCUGCGUCUACCAUUCACUUGGCCGGACGUACGCGAUCUGGAUCUAUUACUUUGAAAAAAUUAGAGUGUUUAAAGCAGGCUUUCGCUAUGAAUACAUUAGCAUGGAAUAAUAAUUUAGGACUUCGGUCCUAUUUUGUUGGUUUCUAGGACUGAAGUAAUGAUUGAUAGGGACAGUUGGGGGUGCUAGUAUUCCGCGGCCAGAGGUGAAAUUCUUGGAUUCGCGGAAGACUAACUACUGCGAAAGCAUUCACCAAGGAUGUCUUCU